UACGAAGGGGGCUAGCGUUGUUCGGAAUUACUGGGCGUAAAGCGCGCGCAGGCGGUCCUUCAAGUCAGAGGUGAAAGCCCAGAGCUCAACUCUGGAAUGGCCUUUGAGACUAGAGGACUUGGGUACGGGAGAGGUGAGUGGAAUUCCGAGUGUAGAGGUGAAAUUCGUGGAUAUUCGGAAGAACACCAGUGGCGAAGGCGGCUCACUGGCCCGUUACCGACGCUCAGGCGCGACAGCGUGGGGAGCAAACAGG
rnacentral:rRNA from 1 species